ensembl:lncRNA
UGUGUAGUUGGGUGUUGUGCCAUAUACUGUCAAAGAAAAGGAACUGAAAACUGUUGACUGGUGGGCAGAAACAGUGAUUAUAAUGACUUAUUUGACUCAAUUUUGACCGGCUGUUUUUGUCAUUUUAACCCUAAAGGCAACUGUUUAUUUUGAUGUGGGCUUAAAAGGUUUUUUGGUGGGGGACAGAAAGACAGCGUAAUUUACCCAGCUUACCUGCAGCAAUGCCGUCCUCAUCCUCUCUGACAGGAAGUAAUGGCAGGAUAUGACAUAACAGACAGCUCACCCUUGAGCAGAGGUGAAAAAAAGCUUUCUACAAUCCCUGUUUUUUUCCUUGCCAGCACUUUCUAUUUGCUUUCUCUCACUUCCUCAUUUCCUACCCACACAGCUUCUGACUUUAAAUGAGAAUGCAUGCCAUAAAGUGAACUCCUGGGAUAGUGAUAUGUCUUCAUGCCAUUAUAGAAAUGUGCUUUUCACCUGAUCUGAUCUGACUUCUUUACAGAAUCUGUCCAUCUAGAGGUGCAUUUGCUGCUUUUGAAAGGAGGACGUUUCACUUGGAUUCGAUCUGGUUGAGCAGGUAGUUUCAAGACAGUAUGGAGUACUUUUCUGCUUGCCAUCACUCCAGGUUUACAGGAGAAAGCACUCAUGCUGUCUGACUGCUGUUUCUGCUUUCAAUUUAACAGAUCUGUCUGCUGCACUCACCUGGUCCCUGCCCGCCAGGUGCAUGCUGGGUAGGGGCACCACAGCUCUUCAUGAGCCAAAAAGCAGCACUAAUGGCAAGAGAACUUUGCCGUCACCAACAGGGACACAAGGGACUUUUAAUACCACCAUCACCCGUCCUUUAUUCUUUCAGUCCCUUCCAUUCCCUUGCUUCAGGGUUUUCUACAUUGCUGGACACAGAGGUUCACAGAGAGCCUACGCUGCUGAUGUGAAAACCGAGGGAAUUAGCUGCAAACCUCCACCGCCCACAGAACAAGGACACGAUGAACACGGCAAAUGGAUCUCCACAUGGUAAGUGUAAGAGGAAGGAAAACAUUCACAGCGGCUCAUGAGGGGACGGGAUUGAACUGUGACGGAGACACUGACACGACACGCAGAUGGGACAAUCUCUCGAGGGUCUUGCUCAUGUUCUGAGUCACCAAUCUGCUGCAGGUACUAAAAUGUUUAUGGAUGUGUAAAUAUGAAUGUGUAGGUAUUCUGUAGGUUGUACAAAAUUGAAGUGGAAAUCUGUGAAGAGAGUCGUUCUUCUUUCUCUCAUCUUACUCACUGAAAUCUUGUUUGUCGGUGAUAAGAUCAGCCCUCUCCUCUUCUUCAUGUGUUUUCCAUAGAUGAGCCACGUGUGGUGAAUAUAGAUACCACAGCGCCA